GACGAACGCUGGCGGCGUGCUUAACACAUGCAAGUCGAACGGAAAGGCCCUGCUUUUGUGGGGUGCUCGAGUGGCGAACGGGUAAGUAACACGUGAGUAACCUGCCCUUGACUUUGGGAUAACUUCAGGAAACUGGGGCUAAUACCGGAUAGGAGCUCCUGCUGCAUGGUGGGGGUUGGAAAGUUUCGGCGGUUGGGGAUGGACUCGCGGCUUAUCAGCUUGUUGGUGGGGUAGUGGCUUACCAAGGCUUUGACGGGUAGCCGGCCUGAGAGGGUGACCGGCCACAUUGGGACUGAGAUACGGCCCAGACUCCUACGGGAGGCAGAAGUGGGGAAUAUUGCACAAUGGGCGGAAGCCUGAUGCAGCAACGCCGCGUGCGGGAUGACGUCCUUCGGGUUGUAAACCGCUUUCGCCUGUGACGAAGCGUGAGUGACGGUAAUGGGUAAAGAAGCACCGGCUAACUACGUG
rnacentral:rRNA from 1 species